rnacentral:lncRNA from 1 species
GGUACCAAGUGUUUUUAAUGAUGAUAUCGUAUUACACUUAAACAAGCAAAUUUAUCACUUCUGAAGGACACUAUUGCAGGACCUUAGGUCUUGGUCAUGCAUUGAUUACUUUCUUCAUUGUACAACUGCUGCUACUGUUUGUCUAGCAGGCAUGUCUUUACCUUCAAACUUCACACAGAUGUAUGCAAAAUUCUGGGACCAUGAAAAUCAUACAUUAGAUUCCAUAUUAGUAAAUUAUGUCAAUUGUUACUUCUAACUUUGUUCCGAAAAAACAAGGCUAUUUGAUUGGAUAAGCAAUAAAAAGAACAUAUGAACAUGGUCAACUAUCAUAGUCAAGCAGCUGAGCUGACUAUGUUCAGCUCAGUAGAGGUAGCUAAUUAGUAUUGGCUAAAACCUUACAGGCAAUUGCACAGAGAACGACAAAACUUAUACAUUAGGUGGUUAAAACUCAGGAAAGUGAUUUAGUAACUGAAUCACCGGAAUUGGCCUAAGCAGACUAGCAACUCGAUCUUCUUCACUUCAGAGAAAUGCUUUGAAUUGCAUUGCUGCAAGUAUUGACUGCAAAACCAAUAAAAUUAUACCAGCAAAAGGAAAAUUUGAUUUUGUUCUACCACAAUUGUAAUGCACACAAAGGAAAUAUCUAUGCUUCUCCAAGAAUACUUAUGAGAACAUGAGAACAUGUAAAGAAAACUGAUGAAAAGAUGUAAACUUAUCACCAAAUGCUGGGUAAUAGACCAUGUGAAAUGGUGCUGCUUUUUAACAUAUUUGUUUUUAAAAUCUGUACUCACUAUAUCAUAUCCAUUUCAAAACACUCAUGCAUUCUCUUCUCCUUUAUA